rnacentral:ncRNA from 1 species
ACCGCGCCUAGCUCGACGGGGCGAAAGCCGGGUGCCCUACCCGGUUGGCGCGGUUCCUAAAACAGGGC